rnacentral:lncRNA from 1 species
UCAUAUUGGUUUAUUCUGGUUUAUACUGGUUUAUACUGGUUUCUAUUAAUUUAUACUGGUUUCUAUCAAUUUAUACUGGUUUAUACUGGUUUAUAUUGGUCUAUACUGGUCUAUACUGGUUUCUAAUGCUAAAUGAGCUAGCAAUCCAAGAUGGCGGCCAAAUGACGUAAUCCAAAAUGGCCGCCAAGGAUCAGUAGCCAGGUGGGACUGGGAGCACUGGUUUAUACUGGGAGGGGACUGGGAGAGGAUCAGGACAAUCCAUACUGGUUUAUACUGGUUUAUACUGGUUUAUACUGGUUUAUAUCACUAAGAGAGCUACCAAUCCAAAAUGGCCACCAAGUGGAUUAUCCAAGAUGGCCGCCAAGGAUUGUAUAUUGGUUUAUACUGGUUUAUACUGGUUUAUAUUAAUUUAUACUGGUUUAUACUGGUCUAUACUGGUUUUUACUGGUUUAUAAUGCUAAAUGAGCUAGCAAUCCAAGAUGGCGGCCAAAUGACGUAAUCCAAAAUGGCCGCCAAGAAUCAGCAGCCAGGCGGGACUGGGUGCACUGGUUUAUACUGGGAGGGGACUGGGAGGGGAUUGGGAGGGGAUCAGGACAAUCCAUACUGGUUUAUACUGGUUUAUACUGGUUUAUAUCACUAAGAGAGCUACCAAUCCAAAAUGGCCGCCAAGUGAAUAAUCCAAGAUGGCCGCCAAGGAUUGCAUAUUGGUUUAUACUGGUUUAUACUGGUUUCUAUUAAUUUAUACUGGUUUAUACUGGUUUUUACUGGUUUCUACUGCUAAAUGAGCUAGCAAUCCAAGAUGGCGGCCAAAUGACGUAAUCCAAGAUGGCCACCAUGUGAGUUAUUCAAAAUGGCCGCCAAGGAUUGCACACUGGUUCAUACUGGUCCAUACUGGUCCAUACUGGUUUUUAUGAAUUUUUAUGGAUUUUUACUGGGUUUUUUUGGUCCAUACUGGUCCAUACUGGUUUAUACUGGUCCAUGCUGGUCCGUACUGGUUUCUAUGGAUUUUUAUGGGAUGUUUUUGGUUCCAUACUGGUUUGUACUGGUUUCUACUGGUCCAUGCUGGUCCGUACUGGUUUAUACUGGUUUGUACUGGUUUAUACUGGUUUAUACUGGUUUAUAUCACUAAGAGAGCUCCCAAUCCAAAAUGGCUGCCAAGUGGAUUAUCCAAGAUGGCCGCCAAGGAUUGCAUAUUGGUUUAUACUGGUUUCUACUGGUUUCUACUGGUCCAUACUGGUUUAUACUGGUUUAUACUGGUUUAUACUGGUCCAUACUGGUUUAUAAUGCUAAAUGAGCUAGCAAUCCAAGAUGGCGGCCAAAUGACGUAAUCCAAAAUG